GUUUCUUUCUUCUUUUUUUUUUCGAGCUUAGUUCGCAGUUUCUAACGAUCGACGGAACUUUGAACUAGGAGAUAGUGGACGUUUCUUGGUGGACAUGGAAAUUUUGCGAGGAGAUCGUUCUUUCUGGAACGCGAACUGCGAUUCGGGAUUGCUCGCGAAGGAUCUGUGCAAUUGUGUACCAUUUUUGGAACGAACGCGAUGGCCGCGUGAAUUACGAUAUCAAGAAGAAAAUGAACGGAAUUAGUAGAAGAAGGAAAUGCAAGGCGAAUGAAACUGAUAGCAAAAAGGAUGAAACAGACGGAAAUAGGACGAAAAGAAAAAUGCGAGGAAUGAAAGUAACAAGAGAAACGUGAAAGAACAACGCGAAAGUGUACCAAGAGAACUCGCGCUCCGGUCGACGGAGCGAUUUGCAUGGAACACGGCAACGGGGUUAACAAGCUAACCCUAACCCGGCCGAGGGUCCGAUGGAAGCAGUUUCGAAGGUCGCUGCGGCUUUUUAAGACAGUCGUCUGCAAAUCGACUAUUCGCGGCUGCUGAAUUAUAACAGGGUCUCCGGUAGAAAUCAGCACCAAGAGGGACGAAGAGGGGAGCAUACGCGUGAUCCGUCGUUCCAAAAAAUUGCUUAGAUGCUCCAAAAGAAGAGAAGAGCCUUGGAAGGCUCGCAAAUAAUUAUGGUGAUACUGUUAUAAAAUUUGAAGCUCGACAGGCGAUUCAUCGAGGAUGCGUCGUCGUCGAGAGCCCUGGUUGCUCUCUCUCUCUCUCUCUCUCUCUCUCUCUCGAGAUCUCUCUCUCUCUCUCUCUCUCUCUCUCUCUCUCUCUCUCUUCUCCGAGUAAAAAUGGCCACUCAUUUGCUAGAUUCAGUUUGGAAACUCCAUCACGGUUCCAGCUGGGCGCGCCGAGAGAGAGAGAGAGAGAGAGAGAGAGAGAAUUGUAGAGAGCUAGAGAGAGAGAGAGAGAGAGAGAGAGAGAGAGGGGGAGAGGGAUAGCCAACGGGUUAAAACUGGCUGCGAGUCUAAUGCAUUCGGUUGUCCGAGGCAUCCGAAACUCGUGUCCCGGUUUUCCGCUGCAACAUCGGCAAGUUUGACCGUGUAACGCCCGCGCUCGCUCUAACCGCUCGGGGUUGGCUCGAACGGAAGACAAUGACGGAUACACCGACGUUGUCGAGUUGUCUAUAAACUCCGGGGCGCUUGUCUUCGGCGCGAUCUCGUUACGGGCUCGGGCCACGACUCCCGGGGCCCCGUUGUUCGGAUUUAGCCGCGCCUUAUCAAGCUACGAUAAAACACGCCCUUUUCCUUUGCAUCCAAAGCGCCCGUUACUUUAAUUUCUCUCGGCUCCCGAGAUACACCCCGGGGUCUUAGCCGGCGCUUUUCUUCGCGCUCGCCCUGUUUCCCGCUCGACCGUUCCCCGUUGAUUGUUUCUCUCAUUCUUUCUUUCGGCUCGCUUUUACAUUUCAUUGUUCCUUCGGCCGGGUUUCUUCCGCGCGUUUACGUCUAAUCCGUUUUCACAAGGUAUCGCGGCCGGACACGACCGUGGCGUCGUUCUUUCCCUCGUUACACGCGCGCGUAAUAACCUCGACGCUGUGUCGCGAUUGUUGUUGUUAUUAUUAUUAUUAUUGUGUUAUUAUUCGUGCGCACUCGCGGCGGUGAAAAGGGUAGACGGAAUCGCGGAACGAGAGCGAGCCGCAUGGAAAGGUCGCGAGAGAGCAACGGAACGGCGCCGAGCGCCCGGCUGGCUGCUUUUGUUCGACGGGAACGCUCGCGUUUCUGCGAGCGACACACAUUUCUGCAUUCGCGAGCGCUCCCUCCCCCCCUCUGGCUCCGAUGUGAUAUAAAAGAUUAAUGUAAUACGCGGCCGCGAUGCACGCGGACACAUAGAAGCCCGAGCGGUGGGAGCCGCCGGCCUUAACGAGGUCUUGUCGCCGAGGUCUGAUUUAAUUUUCAGGACGCCGAGGCAUUCGACCGAUAAUACGCGCGAACCCGGCCGACGCCGAGGACCGCCGACUUAUUUGUCCCGCGAUAAAUGGGACGUUCCCGUCUUCUUAAAUGAUAAUUAGCGGGUUACACCGGCGCGGCGAGACCGAGGUGUUUCCUUUCAAAUGCCGAAAACGUAACGCGGAGAGCCGCGCGCGAUACAGUGCGCGCGAGGACGAGACGCGAAUUUCGUGGUCCCGAGUCGGUCCACGGCGCCGGUUAACAUUAAUCGAUUAAUUAAUAUAAUUAGCAGCCCGUUAUUAUCGGCCGCCCACGCUCCUCCCCUGCCCCCGCCCCGUGUAUGCAGAUGCGCGUCGCGCGUGAAUUAUCAAGCCGUUCGUUACACCAACACCGACGGCUUAUUACAUAAUUGAUCUCAUCAAAUUAUUGCUCAUUUGCGGCCCAUUCGGCGGCCCGUAAUGACCAUUCCGAUGCCGUCAGGACGCGUCUUCCGGAAAAGCCGAUAAGCCGAUCUCCGGCGAGAUGUUUCUGUUUCGAACGCGAGAUGCUGGUACAGCGAAUUCUCUCUGAUUCUAUUGUAUCGUACUUAGACCGCGAACUUUUUCAUACAAAAUAAAAACUGUCCAAAUUAAUUGCAAGA